CUAACCAUCCACUCUCCCAAAAAACUUCCGAAAUCACCAAAAGAGUAGGAAAAAAGAAGAAAAGUAGAAGAUGACUAAUGAAACCAAGAAUGUGUUGCCAGAGAUAAAAGUUGCGGUAUCUCUGUUUGAAAUGACAUACCGAAUUGUUCAACCCCAGAUCACCGGAGAAUCGAUCAUCGAGAAAGUGACAUCAUGCAUGUCAUUCUAAGACUGCUGUCUUUUAACUUGUGUCACAUCAGUCUCAUAAUGUCCACUGUCAAACAAGCUUUUACAGUCUCUCUCUAUGGCUUUAGUAUCUCUGCUUCUCCAAAUGGUCCUUCUCUGACUCCUUUGAGUAAGCACGUUUAAACUUACUCUAUUGCCCAUUAUUUUUCAGUACCUUGUUGAGUAUAUGGUAUUUUUAUAAUUCAAGACAUUGAAUUAGAAAUGGAACAAAA
rnacentral:lncRNA from 1 species